rnacentral:rRNA from 1 species
CCUAACACAUGCAAGUCGAACGGUAACAGGAAACAGCUUGCUGUUUCGCUGACGAGUGGCGGACGGGUGAGUAAUGUCUGGGAAACUGCCUGAUGGAGGGGGAUAACUACUGGAAACGGUAGCUAAUACCGCAUAACGUCGCAAGACCAAAGAGGGGGACCUUCGGGCCUCUUGCCAUCAGAUGUGCCCAGAUGGGAUUAGCUAGUAGGUGGGGUAACGGCUCACCUAGGCGACGAUCCCUAGCUGGUCUGAGAGGAUGACCAGCCACACUGGAACUGAGACACGGUCCAGACUCCUACGGGAGGCAGCAGUGGGGAAUAUUGCACAAUGGGCGCAAGCCUGAUGCAGCCAUGCCGCGUGUAUGAAGAAGGCCUUCGGGUUGUAAAGUACUUUCAGCGGGGAGGAAGGGAGUAAAGUUAAUACCUUUGCUCAUUGACGUUACCCGCAGAAGAAGCACCGGCUAACUCCGUGCCAGCAGCCGCGGUAAUACGGAGGGUGCAAGCGUUAAUCGGAAUUACUGGGCGUAAAGCGCACGCAGGCGGUUUGUUAAGUCAGAUGUGAAAUCCCCGGGCUCAACCUGGGAACUGCAUCUGAUACUGGCAAGCUUGAGUCUCGUAGAGGGGGGUAGAAUUCCAGGUGUAGCGGUGAAAUGCGUAGAGAUCUGGAGGAAUACCGGUGGCGAAGGCGGCCCCCUGGACGAAGACUGACGCUCAGGUGCGAAAGC